GCCUACAUACCCCAAAGGCACUAGAUCCCAUCAAAUCUUGGAAGCUAAGCAGGGUCAGCCCUGGUUAGUAGUUGGAUGGGAGGCCGCCAACAAAUACUUGGUACUGCAGGUU
rnacentral:rRNA from 1 species